CCCAGGUCCUGGCAGGGGUGUACCCCAAUCCUGUUUCUCCCCCAGGUCCUGGCAGGGCUGUACCCCAAUCCCAACCCCAUUUUCCCGUUCCCAGGUCCUGGCAGGGGUGUACCCCAUUGCCCAGCUGCAGGACCCCUACUCGGCCGUGGGGUUCCUGGGGUCCCGCCUGGCCCUGCCCCCGCUGCUGCAGCUGCGCCCCCCAAACGGCCCCGGCUGGACGGCCUGGGAGAUCUGCGAAGCCUGGGCGGAGAAGAGGGGCUAC
rnacentral:lncRNA from 1 species